rfam:Salmo salar isolate Sally breed double haploid chromosome ssa29, whole genome shotgun sequence.
UGGCUCAGUUGGUAGAGCAUGGUGUUUGCAACGCCAGGGUUGUGGGUUUGAUUCCCAC